rnacentral:pre_miRNA from 1 species
CAUGUACUCCCUCCGUUCGGAAUUACUUGUCGCAAAAAUGAAUGUAUCUAGACGCCUUUUAAUUCUAGAUACAUCCAUUUUCGAGACAAGUAAUUCCGAACGGAGAGAGUAACUG